rnacentral:rRNA from 1 species
UAGGUGGGAUUAGCUAGUUGGUGAGGUAAGGGCUCACCAAGGCGACGAUCCCUAGCUGGUCUGAGAGGAUGAUCAGCCACACUGGAACUGAGACACGGUCCAGACUCCUACGGGAGGCAGCAGUGGGGAAUAUUGCACAAUGGGCGCAAGCCUGAUGCAGCCAUGCCGCGUGUGUGAAGAAGGCCUUCGGGUUGUAAAGCACUUUCAGUCGUGAGGAAGGUAGUGUAGUUAAUAGCUGCAUUAUUUGACGUUAGCGACAGAAGAAGCACCGGCUAACUCCGUGCCAGCAGCCGCGGUAAUACGGAGGGUGCGAGCGUUAAUCGGAAUUACUGGGCGUAAAGCGCAUGCAGGUGGUUUGUUAAGUCAGAUGUGAAAGCCCGGGGCUCAACCUCGGAAUUGCAUUUGAAACUGGCAGACUAGAGUACUGUAGAGGGGGGUAGAAUUUCAGGUGUAGCGGUGAAAUGCGUAGAGAUCUGAAGGAAUACCGGUGGCGAAGGCGGCCCCCUGGACAGAUACUGACACUCAGAUGCGAAAGCGUGGGGAGCAAACAGGAUUAGAUACCCUGGUAGUCCACGCCGUAAACGAUGUCUACUUGGAGGUUGUGGCCUUGAGCCGUGGCUUUCGGAGCUAACGCGUUAAGUAGACCGCCUGGGGAGUACGGUCGCAAGAUUAAAACUCAAAUGAAUUGACGGGGGCCCGCACAAGCGGUGGAGCAUGUGGUUUAAUUCGAUGCAACGCGAAGAACCUUACCUACUCUUGACAUCCAGAGAACUUUCCAGAGAUGGAUUGGUGCCUUCGGGAA